rnacentral:rRNA from 1 species
GACGAACGCUGGCGGCGUGCUUAACACAUGCAAGUCGAACGGAAAGGCCCUGCUUUUGUGGGGUGCUCGAGUGGCGAACGGGUGAGUAACACGUGAGUAACCUGCCCUUGACUUUGGGAUAACUUCAGGAAACUGGGGCUAAUACCGGAUAGGAGCUCCUGCUGCAUGGUGGGGGUUGGAAAGUUUCGGCGGUUGGGGAUGGUCUCGCGGCUUAUCAGCUUGUUGGUGGGGUAGUGGCUUACCAAGGCUUUGACGGGUAGCCGGCCUGAGAGGGUGGCCGGCCACAUUGGGACUGAGAUACGGCCCAGUCUCCUACGUGACGCAGCGGUGGGGAAUAUUGCACAAUGGGCGGAAGCCUGAUGCAGCAACGCCGCGUGCGGGAUGACGGCCUUCGGGUUGUAAACCGCUUUCGCCUGUGACGAAGCGUGAGUGACGGUAAUAGGUAAGGAAGCACCGGCUAACUACGUG